rnacentral:lncRNA from 1 species
GCUUCAUCGAUCUCUCUAAUUCUUAAGGCUGCUACUAGAUUAAACCUUUAGCGCUUGUCUUGAGUUGUUUAGUAGUUAGGAUUAAUUAGAUCGCUUGUUUUUAAUUAACUAUGACUAAGAAGAGAUAGAAAAAUAUUUCUAACGGUGGACAUUCAAAGUGCAAAUUGAUAUAUCCUUGCAUCAAUGAUCAGUUGUAAAAUUCCGAUG